GCCACUCGGCGCAUGGGCCGCGCUACACGGCCGCUCAGGGAGCUGAGGGUAUAGCGUUUUCGCCUUAGACUUUCUUGGGUGCAGGCCCACACCACCUCAGCAGCCUGCCCGGCAGUCCUCUUUUCCCAGGUUUUGGCGUUUAGACAACCCACCUGAGUCCUCAGCCUUGUCCCACACAGCAAGGUACAAGGGACCGGACGUCUGCCUCCUCAGCAGCGCAGCGCACAAGCUUCCUGUCAUCCCGGCGCCCACGAUCAGCACCUGCGCCAUGGCGAGAGGGAGCAGCGAUCCGCGCUGAGUCUCUGCGGCGGGGCCGUUCGGCCCGGGCUUUCUGGAAAGGCGGCCGAACCGGCGCUAGCGCUCUUUGGUUCCGUGCUCCCUGGGCCGACCUGGGCCCUGAGCUUUCCUCCGGCCGGCCUGCAGGGGGCGGAAAGGAGGCGGCCGGAGCUGAGAGGCCCCUCCGUCCUUGAGGAGCAAACCUGGGGCUGCGGAGAACCGGGGCUGUCUGUCUUCUCGCUUUGGGGGCCGGGCGCCCUGCCCCUCGCCCAGAAAAGCCUGGAAAUGGUGUGGGCUAUUGUUGGGAGAACCCGCCUCGCAACAGAGCUGACGUUGACCACAGCAGAGAAGCAGCUUAACCUAUCUACUGCGAUAACUCUCAUGCCUGUUGGGAUUUUUGCUGUUUUACUAUUCUAGAUUUGAAAGUGGGAAGAAGAAUUUACCAGCGAUACCACGGGCAACCUUUCCUCUAAUGCUUGAACGGCCACUAUUAGCAUAAUAGAAACAUCUUUUGGAAUCUGGGAGACAUUUUUCUUAGACCUGGGACUUUGUGUAACCUUCCUGAACCUCAAUUUCUCCAUCUGGGAAAUGGAAACAAUAACGUAUACCUUUCAAACUUGUAAAGAUUAAAGACAGUUGAUUCAUCAGAAAAUUCCAAAUUACUCUUCAAUAAGUUCUAUGUCAGAACGCAUUCCGUAUGUUCUAAGGAAUAUAAAGAUGAACAACAAGAGAAGGAUUGGUGCCAUUGCCGUUGUUUUUUUCCCCCUCCUGACAUUGUACUGGAAGUUCUCAAUGAAACAACAAAGGCAAUGGUAAUACUGAACUAUUAAAAAACAAAUAAUUAAGUUACGCUGACUUGCAGAUAAAUUAUUACCUGGAAAACUAAGAAACCGAAUAAGUAUCAGAACCAAUAAGAAAAUUGACAAUGGUAGCCAAUUAUAAUGGAAACAUUUAAAAAUCAGAAUAUUUACUUCAUGUCCACAUCAUGAAAAAAAUUACCAUGUAUCAAAUGGGUGACGAAUUAAUACUAGAUAUAUCUAAUAAAAGAACUAGAAGAAAAUGUAGACGGGCAUAUAUGACUAAGAAGACAUUUUUAAGCAUAAAAAUGAAAGAUGGAAUUGAACAGAAAAUACAUAAUCAUUUACAACUUGUGUGUUACAAAAUACACAAAACAAAAUACAAAUAGUAAAUUUCUGAAAGGUGUAUGAAAGAUUAAAGUUAAUAUUAUUUAAAAACAUUAUUCAAAGUCUUAAAGACACAAAUGACAAAAGCCAAAAGGAAAAUGUGUAUAUAUUGGAUAGAGUUCUUGAAUAAAAAGAAAUACGUAAGUCCAAUAAGCAUGUGUUUAAUUUUUUAUAUUCAAAUACAAAUUAAAAUGAGGUACUAUUUUUCAUUUGUUGAGUUUUUUGUUUUUUCUUUCUUGAGACAGGGUCUUGUGUCACUCAGGCAAGAGUGCAGUGGCACGAUCAGGGCUCACUGCAGCCUUGACCUCUUAGGCUCAAGCUAUUCUCCUGCCUCAGCCACCUGAGUAGCUGGGACUACAGGUGCCCACCGCCACGUGUGGCUCAUUUUGUGGGUGUGUAUACUUUAUGUAGAGAUAAGGUUUUGCCAUGUUCCCCGGGUUAGGAAUUACUUUUGUAAAUGUAAAAAUGUCUUUUUUUCAGGGAUACAGCAAAAUACACAAUGGUAUAUUACUGAUGGAAGUGUACUAGACAAAUUUGUCAUAAUACAGUCUGAUACUAUGUCAAAAGCCUUAAAAAUAUGCCAUUUAAAGCAGACAUUUAUCUUGGGGA
rnacentral:lncRNA from 1 species